UAAGAACUCACCUGGAGUCGCGCCCUCCGAAGCUGAGCCGCCCUCGGCCAGCGCUGCAGGUUUCAGUUUCGAGCGCACCUGCGAGCGGAACCACGGGCCGGCUGGGAUCCCGCUCCCGGGCUGAGCCACCCGGGUUAUAGAAGGGGAAUAUCGGGAAGCUCUCCAAGUCACUGCCCAGGUCUUCGAACCUCCUCUGGGUGACAAGGACCCCCCCUAUUCGGAGGUCCGGAGAGAAUUUGCCCAAAGUUACUCCGAGUGAGUGACAGAACUGGAAACCCGGAGAUCCUGUCUUUCAAAACCGGAAGGCUCUUCCCAGUAAGCCUGACGGCCUCUGAGGCCGUAUCCAUUGGCCACUAAAGGGAAGGCCGAGGAACCUCGUAUUGUAACCUUAAAGCUACUCACAGGCUGGAUUUCUCCAAGUCAAUUGUAAAUAACUGAGGGAAUCAAGGAGGUGCAUUAUUUUUGUGUCUACUUGAAAUUUAUGACCCAGCGUAUUUUGGACACAUCUAAUUCACAUUGAUGAGAAUGAUCUGUGGAAUCGCGUCUGCUCUCUAUGUCUGCUUACCGGUGAAGGCCGAGUCUUCAGUCCUAGAGGCCAGCGUCCUUUCUUCCACCUGCCAGUGUGUAGUAGAAGCAGCAGCAGCAGCAGCAGCUAGGAAUCUCUUAAUUGCCUUGUGCUUGUCAAGAUUAUGCAGCUUUCCAGAAUUCAAGAUCAUGGAAAACUGCCAGAAGGAAAUGGGUCUUCUCCUCUCCCAAAUGGUCCCAUAACUAGUCUGGCCGGCUUGAGCCAUCCAAGAGGAGAAUGUGGUCAGGGACUGUGACUCAGCUUAAGAAGGUGAUGGGAGCUUACAUGCAGAAAACCCCAAGACGCGUUCUUCUGCUGUGCCUUUAUGCUCCAUGAAGCCCCAGCGGAUUCUAUUUUGAGGUGCCUCUUAAGUCAGAAUACAGGAUGGACUCAUGUUUAUUAUUUGUGAUAGGGUGCCUAAGGGAAAAGGCUCAGAAAUACCUGUCUCCUUAGCUGGAAGUGACAAACUGAGACCCGAGACAUUCUGAUUUUUGCACCACAAAGCCUUUCUCUGGGGAAUGAGAGACCAGAUCUGAGCGCAUGAGCUUUGGAGAAGUGAUGCAUCUUUCCCGAAACUGAGGCUCAAAGAGACAUGUUGUCUUUAUCCAAGCUCAUCAGAUGGAAACAGGCAGAGUCAACAUGGGAACCCAAGUAUUAUGGUUCCUGGCUUUCUUACUGAGCUGCACAAAGCAGAACACACUUACCUAAUGGGAGCACUAAAAACUGUUUACUCUCUUAAUGGACUGCAAUUGUUUUUACUAGAAACAUCGUUUUUUUUUUUUUUUUUUUUUAGGAGUCUCGCUCUGUCGCCCAGGCUGGAGUGAAAUGGCACAAUCUUGGCUCACUGCAACCACCGCCUCCUGGGUUCAAAUGAUUCUUCUGCCUCAGCCUCCCCAGUAGCUGGGAUUAUAAGCACCCACCACCAUGCCCGGCUAAUUUUUGUAUUUUUAGUAGAGACGGGUUUCACCAUAUUGGUCAGGCUGGUCUCAAACUCCUGACCUUGUGAUCUGCCCGCCUCAGCCUCCCAAAGUGCUGGGAUUAUGAGCAUGAGCCACCGCGCCCGGCAGAAACAAUAGUAAUAUCAUCUAGUGCAACUACCUCAUUUAUACACGACAACACUUAGGCUCAGAAUAGGAAACUCACUUGCUUAAGGUCACAAUAAUUUUAGCAGUAGAGGCUGGUCUAGGUCACAGAUCAACUGCUGUGGUCAGCACUGACAGCUCUUUCCACGAAUGUUUAAUAUUAAGUUUCACUGACUGUGACAUAUAUCUGUAUCUCUCUUUCUACCUACAUCUAUAUCUAUAUCUACACACAUGUUCCACUGACUAUGACUACCGCUACCAUCGCCCAUGCCCACCCACUUACGUGGGAACCAAGAGGUAAUCAGCCACUUC
ensembl:lincRNA